UUGAACGCUGGCGGCAGGCCUAACACAUGCAAGUCGAGCGGAUGAAGGGAGCUUGCUCCUGGAUUCAGCGGCGGACGGGUGAGUAAUGCCUAGGAAUCUGCCUGGUAGUGGGGGAUAACGUCCGGAAACGGGCGCUAAUACCGCAUACGUCCUGAGGGAGAAAGUGGGGGAUCUUCGGACCUCACGCUAUCAGAUGAGCCUAGGUCGGAUUAGCUAGUUGGUGGGGUAAAGGCCUACCAAGGCGACGAUCCGUAACUGGUCUGAGAGGAUGAUCAGUCACACUGGAACUGAGACACGGUCCAGACUCCUACGGGAGGCAGCAGUGGGGAAUAUUGGACAUUGGGCGAAAGCCUGAUCCAGCCAUGCCGCGUGUGUGAAGAAGGUCUUCGGAUUGUAAAGCACUUUAAGUUGGGAGGAAGGGCAGUAAGUUAAUACCUUGCUGUUUUGACGUUACCAACAGAAUAAGCACCGGCUAACUUCGUG
rnacentral:rRNA from 1 species